rnacentral:rRNA from 1 species
UACGGGGGGGGCAAGCGUUGUUCGGAAUUACUGGGCGUAAAGGGCUCGUAGGUGGCCAACUAAGUCAGACGUGAAAUCCCUCGGCUUAACCGGGGAACUGCGUCUGAUACUGGAUGGCUAGAGAUUGGGAGAGGGAUGCGGAAUUCCAGGUGUAGCGGUGAAAUGCGUAGAUAUCUGGAGGAACACCGGUGGCGAAGGCGGCAUCCUGGACCAACACUGACGCUGAGGAGCGAAGGCCAGGGGAGCAAACGGG